AACCGGAUUAGAUACCCUGGUAGUUCCAUGCCGUUAAACGUUGGGCACUAGGUGUGGGGGACAUUCCCACGUUUUCCGCGCCGUAGCUAACGCAUUAAGUGCCCCGCCUGGGGAGUACGGCCGCAAGGCUAAAACUCAAAGGAAUUGACGGGGGCCCGCACAAGCGGCGGAGCAUGCGGAUUAAUUCGAUGCAACGCGAAGAACCUUACCAAGGCUUGACAUGAACCGGAAUGAUGCAGAGAUGUGUCAGCCACUUGUGGCCGGUUUACAGGUGGUGCAUGGUUGUCGUCAGCUCGUGUCGUGAGAUGUUGGGUUAAGUCCCGCAACGAGCGCAACCCUCGUUCCAUGUUGCCAGCGGGUUAUGCCGGGGACUCAUGGGAGACUGCCGGGGUCAACUCGGAGGAAGGUGGGGACGACGUCAAAUCAUCAUGCCCCUUAUGUCUUGGGCUUCACGCAUGCUACAAUGGCCGGUACAAAGGGUUGCGAUACUGUGAGGUGGA
rnacentral:rRNA from 1 species